rnacentral:rRNA from 1 species
CCUACGGGUGGCAGCAGUGAGGAAUAUUGCACAAUGGGGGAAACCCUGAUGCAGCGACGCCGCGUGAGUGAAGACGUAAUUCGUUAUGUAAAGCUCUAUCAGCAGGGAAGAAAAUGCCGGUACCUGAGUAAGAAGCCACGGAUAACUACGUGCAAGCAGCCGCGGUAAGACGCAGGGGGCAAGCGUUAUCCGGAUUUACUGGGGUUAAAGGGUGCGUAGACGGCAGUGAAGGUCUGGAGUGAAAGUCGGGGGCUCAACCCCGGGACUGCAUGUGGCACUGUGUGGCUGGAGUGUCGGAGAGGCAGGCGGAAUUCCUAGUGUAGCGGUGAAAUGCGUAGAUAUUAGGAGGAACACCAGUGGCGAAGGCGGCCUGCUGGACGAUGACUGACGUUGAGGCUCGAAAGCGUGGGGAGCAAACAGGAUUAGAUACCCGUGUAGUC